rnacentral:rRNA from 1 species
UACAGAGGCCUCAAGCGUUGUUCGGAUUCAUUGGGCGUAAAGGGUGCGUAGGUGGCGCCGUAAGUCAGGUGUGAAAUCUCGGGGCUCAACCCCGAAACUGCACUUGAUACUGCGGUGCUCGAGUACUGGAGAGGAGAUUGGAAUUUACGGUGUAGCAGUGAAAUGCGUAGAUAUCGUAAGGAAGACCAGUGGCGAAGGCGAAUCUCUGGACAGUUACUGACACUGGAGGCACGAAAGGCCAGGGGACGCAAACGGG